rnacentral:rRNA from 1 species
UACGAAGGGGGCUAGCGUUGCUCGGAAUUACUGGGCGUAAAGCGCACGUAGGCGGCUCUUUAAGUCGGGGGUGAAAUCCUGGAGCUCAACUCCAGAACUGCCUUCGAUACUGUAGAUCUUGAGUUCGGGAGAGGUGAGUGGAACUGCGAGUGUAGAGGUGAAAUUCGUAGAUAUUCGCAAGAACACCAGUGGCGAAGGCGGCUCACUGGCCCGAUACUGACGCUGAGGUGCGAAAGCAUGGGGAGCGAACAGG